UGGUUUUGGAAACCCUUAGUGCUGUGAAACUGGCCAGAUUUUCUUUACUUGUGACUCUCCUGCCUGUGAAAGCCCACCUGGCGAGAACAACCUGUUCCUACUAGGAAGGCUGAUUAAACUCAUCUCUGCUCCCCAUCGUUAGCAUUAAUUGGCGCCAUCUGUUGUUAGCGGUUAGCAGAGUCUCGCCUGUGUGGCGGCUGGCCAGGCCGACCUGCUGCUGCAUUGUGGGAGUGCAGGAUGCAGGGGAAACGCCACAUCAGUGGGUGCCAAACACUGAAGCUUUUUCAGGAGACAGACAAUGACACAGUGCAAAACUCCUCCCUGACCCUACGUGGACAGGACCAGGCCCACGGUAGACCGAACACUGGGGCUGAGGGGACAAGCAGCACAACUCAAAGACGAAAGGGUCUUUCUGUAAUGUCUCUGCCCUCAAGACAAAAUGGAGUGAUUUUUGGCCCUUUGCUGAUGAAGACCAUGAGAUGUGGUUAAAGGCAGAACAAGCAGUCGAUUAACCGAUCGACAGAAACAUAAUUGGUAACUAUUUUGAUAAUCCAUUAAUUGUUUAAGUAUUUUUUAAGAAAAAGGCCAAACAAACAAAGGCUUUAGUUCCAGCUGCUUAGUUGUGAGGCUUUGCUGCUUUUCUUUGUCUUCUGUGAUAGUAAACAGAAUAUUUUACGUGUUGGCCAGUGAAAACAACCUGGCAUUGUGAUGGGCAUUUUUUAUUUUAUUUAUUAUUUUCUGACAUUUUAUAGACUAAACGCUAAAUCUAGAAAAUAACUGGCAGAUAAUCAUUAGUUGCAGCCCUAGUUGAAAGCUCCUAAAAAGCUAGUAGACUUUGAGUUGAGAUUAAUUUGUUACACACACACACACACACACACACUGAUCUCAAAAUCACAAAUUAACUUAACUGGUGAUGAAGUCUGGCCAAGAUGUUAAAACAACGACCCGAACAGCAUUAAUUUGAGAAUUUAUAUGUUGUUUAAAUCAGUGGCUCCCAACCUGGGGGUCGAGACCCUCGGAGGAAAAAAAAAAACUACGUAAUUAUAUUGAUUGUUUUCUGACUUUCUGAUUUUAUAUGCAGGGCUUCAAGUCUAAUUUAUUAAAAUGGCUGUAUCUUGCAGGUUUUACAUAUGCAAACACUUUCACUUAACACAUGCUUCUUUUCCUAAACCUUCCAGUCAGGGGGUUGCUGGAUUAUAUUAAUGUGCUAAUUCUAACAUGAUGAGCUCUCAUUCAGUCUUGGAGGAGAAAAUUCACUUGCACUGCAGCCUGUGUGGCCGGUAUCUCUAACGACGACGAAGACUAGUCUUCUCAAGUGGACUCUCACUCAGGGAUUAAAGAUGUCACACGCUCAUUAAACCCAAAGUAUUAAAGUGACAUUAAUGUCUUUUUUCACACAAAUCAUCCCUCUAGACUGUCUACUAGGGCUGCUGCAGACUAAACUCUGACAGUGUAGGACACUCUGCUCAUGAGGAAUUUGUUACUGUGUCACAUUUCAACACAUUUGAGGGUAAAAUGCAGUUUGAGUGCCAGUAAAUAAGAUUUUCUGAUGCUAGAAACUGAUACUGGCUCACAGUUGUGAAAUUCAACAAAGCAUAUAUAUUGUACUAACACAAUAUUUUUAUUUGUGAGCAUUUUGGCAACAAAUGCGGUUUGUUUAUGUUUGUUUUUUUGCUGCAGCUGAACUAAAAGAUGCCAGAUAAGUUGGUUCAAAGCAUUAAACUGCGUCAAAGUUAAAUGCCCAUUUGUUUUAUGUACAGCUGAAUAGCAGGGUUAGGAGUUUAACUCACGCUAAACCAUCUAAGAUACAAAACAUAUGUGACAGAUUGUGAGGGACUGUGAUUUAAAAUGUCUUUAUUUAAAAAAAAAAUCUAAAAAUAAGACAAUUAAUAUGCGAUCAAAGUUGCAAUAUUAAUUUUGAAGUUGCAGCAGGUGAUCUGCCGUCAACACCUUUCUUCCUUGCUGAUAGUUUCAUCAUCACAGUUUCAUCAGGUUACACAGAAGAUGAGAGAGGCGAGGGGGGGACGCAGGUAACAUGGCAACUAAGUUACAUCAGCCCAUAACACAGCAGCUGAAAUGCAUGGCUGUGUGGCAACGGCCCAUGUAACCGCAAGAAGCAGAGAAGCACCCUUUCUCUGAUCAAAUAUUAAAUAAAUCAACAGCAAAAUAAUAUUAAGAUUCCUGCACUAUUUCCUAAUAAGUUUUUUUUCAGACCUAGAACAAAAAACCUAGUGUAUAUUUUUGUAACACUUAAUUUAAACAAAACACACUUCAAAUGUGAGUAACGCUUCUUCUGAGACAGAACGUGGUCACAAUAACCUGUUAACAUAAUAAUCAAAUGUCCAUCUCUCCUAAAACUGUCUGUCCUCAAGGUCAGUCUUUAUUUCAGGUUUAGAAAGAGAGAUUUAGGUGCCAGGUGCGCUGCUAUAAAUAAAAGACAAAUAAGUAAUGUAAAAAUAAAUUCUAAACGCGUGGGGGCCUUAUGAAAUAGUUUUGAGGGCCGAAUCUGGCCCCCAGGCUGGCAGGUUAAAACCCCCACUUUAGGUCAGUCUUGUCCACGAUGGUCUGAUGCAACUAAAAACAUUUUACUGGCUUCUGUGGUGUGUUCACCACAGAGGGUUUCUCCGCCGAGUAAAAACGUUGCCACUGAAAAGGAGAUAACAUCUGUAAUCACGGUUUGCGAACUUCUCUUGUAGGCAGCAGGAGCAUGCCCUCAAAAAACUCCACCUCUGUUUCUGUAGCCAAAACACAAGUGCUCACCAAUACAGAUCAUUAUCAUUUUAAACUACAAACGUACGUCAACAACAGGUAAAAAGGAAGUCCCAUUUUCUUCUGUGUUCUCUUACUACUGAUUAUAAUGCCCUUAGGUUUGACCCCAAUCCUACACUCUUGGCUCUAAUCUCACAUUAACCUCGACCUGCGAGCGGCUGUCAGUCAGCACUCACAACAACUCAUGAAUGAGCCUCUCACGUCACUGUGUGAAUGUUUACAUUUUCAACACAAAGUGGCUGGAAGGUUGAGCCUUGCGCAAGUGUUGAUUAAAACCCAAGAUAGGAGAAGGGACUAGAAUCACAGCUGAAGUGCAACCUAGGGUUACAGCUAACUGCUACUUUCAUUAUUGAUUUAUCUAUUAAAACGUAUGAUAUGUACAGAGUGAGACAUUUUACAGAUGAAAAAUAAACCUCUUACGUAGACAAACUAUACUGUUUCUAAAUGACCUCAAAAAUAUCUUUGGCAUUUCUGUACUGCAAUUUCUCGUUACUUAGUGGCUGCCAUAUACACAGAUACCAAUACAACAACCAAAUCUCAUAAGUUUGAUUUACUAGGGUUACAACUAACAGUUGCUUUCAUUAUGAUUGUGUUCAUUAUUUUCUCAAUUGAUUCCUAGAGCCCGGCUGACGUCUUCAAAUUACUUGUAUUGCCCAACCAACUACCAAAAACCAAAAGAUAUUAAUCUAACAAUGAUUUUAAAAACAGAGAAAAGCAGCAAAUCCUCACAUUUGAGAGGCUGGAACCAGAGAAUAUUUGGCAUUUUUUCGGUGAUUUUCUGUGUAUCAACUAAUCAGUUAAUCAACUAAUUGUUUUAGUUCUACUGCAAACCUGACAGUGGCAUGUUUGGUGAAUGACUGAGCGUGGACCGGAUGUCAAAGCUGCAAAUGAUCACCAGACAGUUUAAACUGAAACAGCAAAGUUAAUGUGUCACAGAGGGUGUGAUCCAAGAAGGCACUGGCUGCAACUGUGACCUCUGACCUACAUCACACCAUGAUAUGAGCAGCAACCAGUCGUCAUCCGAGCCAUCAGGACCACAGACUGUGUGUGUGUGUGUGUGUGUGUGUGUGUGUGUGUGUGUGUGUUUAUAUACAGUCUAUGAUCAGGACCACUUGCACUUCAGACCGUAAAACACGGUUUAUAAUGAAGGUUUAAGUUAAGCCACAAUUCAUUUACAACUAUUGUACAGCACUGCCAUCAAACCAACACCCUCCUCAGUGAUAUCCAGCUAGCCAUCUUGGCCGCUAUCAUCUCCCACAUAACGCGGAGACAAACGGCUGGUAAAGGCGCGUUGUUCCGCCGUGAAACAACUCAAACUGACGGUAAAAGGAGGCCGCACAGACGGCAAGACUACACUCCGGUCCGGUGGGCUGAGCAGAAACAAAAACAACCGCCUCCACACAUCACAACUACCCUCCCCCGCCUUGUCUCGUACCAGAA